GCCCCCUUCGUCUAGUGGCCUAGGAUACCUGGUUCUCAGCCAGGAGACAGGGGUUCGACUCCCCUAGGGGGUA
rnacentral:tRNA from 1 species